AGUUUUAUAGUCUAAAUAAGACUUUAAAUUGCAAAUUUAAAAAUAUAAAAAUUUAUUUAUUAAAACUU